rnacentral:tRNA from 1 species
GCCGGGGUGGUGGAAUGGUAGACACGAGGGACUUAAAAUCCCUUGGGGGUUUUCCCCGUGCGGGUUCGAAUCCCGCCCCCGGCA